GAUGAACGCUGGCGGCGUGCUUAACACAUGCAAGUCGAACGAAGCAUUUAGGACAGAUUACUUCGGUUUGAAGUUCUUUAUGACUGAGUGGCGGACGGGUGAGUAACGCGUGGGUAACCUGCCUUGUACUGGGGGAUAGCAGCUGGAAACGGCUGGUAAUACCGCAUAAGCGCACAAUGUUGCAUGACAUGGUGUGAAAAACUCCGGUGGUAUAAGAUGGACCCGCGUCUGAUUAGCUAGUUGGUGAGAUAACAGCCCACCAAGGCGACGAUCAGUAGCCGACCUGAGAGGGUGACCGGCCACAUUGGGACUGAGACACGGCCCAGACUCCUACGGGAAGCAGCAGUGGGGAAUAUUGCACAAUGGAGGAAACUCUGAUGCAGCGACGCCGCGUGAGUGAAGAAGUAAUUCGUUAUGUAAAGCUCUAUCAGCAGGGAAGAUAGUGACGGUACCUGACGAAGAAGCUCCGGCUAAAUACGUG
rnacentral:rRNA from 1 species